rnacentral:lncRNA from 1 species
AUUGAUUUUUCUUGCAUACUAGCAUUGGGUUGUAUGUAAAUUACAUACUUUCCUUUUCCUACCCCUAGGAUUAUCCGGAACCAUCUUCAAAGCAACUGGAGGAACUCCACUCAUGUGUAACAAGAACCAUCCAAAAUUCCAGUGUAAACCUUCUAAGGAUUCCCAAUAAUGAUAUUGGCUCAAGAUUUGUAGUUAAGAAUGGCAAACCCAUCAAGAGCAGGCAUGUACCUACUGAAAUAACAAACUACACUCUCUGGACAGAAGGGGGCUCUCAAGUAGAGUCAGCUUUCAUGUGAGUGUCUACUUUAUCUUCUUGUUAAAAAUAUUUGUGUUUUGUUUUAU